rnacentral:rRNA from 1 species
AACGAACGCUGGCGGCAGGCUUAACACAUGCAAGUCGAACGCCCCGCAAGGGGAGUGGCAGACGGGUGAGUAACGCGUGGGAAUCUACCCAUCUCUACGGAAUAACUCAGGGAAACUUGUGCUAAUACCGUAUACGCCCUUCGGGGGAAAGAUUUAUCGGAGAUGGAUGAGCCCGCGUUGGAUUAGCUAGUUGGUGGGGUAAAGGCCUACCAAAGCGACGAUCCAUAGCUGGUCUGAGAGGAUGAUCAGCCACAUUGGGACUGAGACACGGCCCAAACUCCUACGGGAGACAGCAGUGGGGAAUAUUGGACAAUGGGCGCAAGCCUGAUCCAGACAUGCCGCGUGAGUGAUGAAGGCCCUAGGGUUGUAAAGCUCUUUCGCCAGGGAAGAUAAUGACGGUACCUGGAAAAGAAGCCUCGGCUAACUCCGUGCCAGCCGCCGCGGUAACAC